rnacentral:tRNA from 1 species
GGACCGUUAGCUCAAUUGGCAGAGCAGGCGACUCUUAAUCGUCAGGUUGGGGGUUCGAUGCCCUCACGGUCCACCA